rnacentral:rRNA from 1 species
UACGGAGGGUGCGAGCGUUGUCCGGAAUCACUGGGCGUAAAGGGCGCGUAGGCGGCGCGGGAAGUCAUCGGUGAAAGCUCAGGGCUCAACUCUGAGUCGGCCGGUGAUACUCUCGUGCUUGAGCACUGUAGAGGCAGGUGGAAUUCCGGGUGUAGCGGUGGAAUGCGUAGAGAUCCGGAAGAACACCGGUGGCGAAGGCGGCAUCCUGGACCGAUACUGACGCUGAGGAGCGAAAGCCAGGGGAGCAAACAGG